GUGAUCUUCUCUGUAUAAUGCUGUGUUUCGUGCCUUAGGGUGGAGGUGCUUUUCUGCUUCUUGAUGAGUACAGAAGCUUCAGGAUGUAGCAGAGAGGUCCUGGGGAUGUUUCAGAAUAAGAACAACAGUAUCAAUAAAGAAGAGGAAGCCAAAGUUGACUGCAGGAGAAAACCAGAUUAAGGGGAAAGUUAUCACAGGCCUCACUUCUGCUGGGUCAGUGUCGGUCUGCCCUGGAGGUCCUUGAAGUUUCUCUUGAUGAAUUUGAAAUCACAGAGGUUGUUUUGUGUGUGUGUGUGCUGAAACAAGGAAUGUGCUUAUGUAUUUUUAAACAAUGUGUUGUUUUGUUUGGUGUGUUGUUCCGUGAGGAGAGUUUUGUUGUGCGUUCAGGGCGG
ensembl:lncRNA